rnacentral:rRNA from 1 species
UACGUAGGGGGCAAGCGUUGUCCGGAUUUAUUGGGCGUAAAGAGCGUGUAGGCGGCUUUACAGGUCCGUUGUGAAAACUCGAGGCUCAACCUCGAGACGCCGGUGGAAACCGUAAAGCUAGAGUCCGGAAGAGGAGAGUGGAAUUCCUGGUGUAGCGGUGAAAUGCGCAGAUAUCAGGAGGAACACCCGUGGCGAAAGCGGCUCUCUGGGACGGUACUGACGCUGAGACGCGAGAGCGUGGGGAGCAAACAGG